rnacentral:rRNA from 1 species
CCUACGGGAGGCAGCAGUGGGGAAUAUUGCUCAAUGGGCGAGAGUCUGAACCAGCCAAGUCGCGUGAAGGAUGACUGCCCUAUGGGUUGUAAACUUCUUUUAUAAAGGAAUAAAACGCGGCACGUGUGCCUUUUUGCAUGUACUUUAUGAAUAAGGAUCGGCUAACUCCGUGCCAGCAGCCGCGGUAAUACGGAGGAGCCGAGCGUUAUCCGGCUUUAUUGGGUUUAAAGGGAGCGUAGAUGGGUUGUUAAGUCAGUUGUGAAAGUUUGGGGCUCAACCGUAAAAUUGCAAUUGAUACUGGUAGGCUUGAGUACAGGUGAGGUAGGCGGAAUUCGUGGUGUAGCGGUGAAAUGCUUAGAUAUCAGGAAGAACCCCGAUUGCGAAGGCAGCUUACUAAACUGUGACUGACGUUGAGGCUCGAAAGUGUGGGUAUCAAACAGGAUUAGAUACCCCAGUAGUC